UACGGAGGGUGCGAACGUUAAUCGGAAUCACUGGGCGUAAAGCGCGCGUAGGCGGUUACUUAAGUCGGAUGUGAAAGCCCUCGGCUUAACUGAGGAAGUGCACCCGAAACUGAGUAGCUAGAGUACGAAAGAGGGUCGCGGAAUUCCCGGUGUAGAGGUGAAAUUCGUAGAUAUCGGGAGGAACACCGGUGGCGAAGGCGGCGACCUGGGUCGAGACUGACGCUGAGGCGCGAAAGCGUGGGGAGCAAACAGG
rnacentral:rRNA from 1 species